GUAGUUGUGGCCGAGUGGUCAAGGUGAUGGAGUUCAAUUCCAUUGGGGUACGCCCUCACGCAAGUUCGAAUCCUGCUGACUACG
rnacentral:tRNA from 1 species